rnacentral:rRNA from 1 species
AGCAGCAGCCGCGGGAAUACGAAGGGGGCUAGCGUUGUUCGGAAUCACUGGGCGUAAAGGGUGCGUAGGCGGAUUCUUAAGUCAGGGGUGAAAUCCCGAGGCUCAACCUCGGAACUGCCUUUGAUACUGGGGAUCUUGAGUCCGGAAGAGGUGAGUGGAACUGCGAGUGUAGAGGUGAAAUUCGUAGAUAUUCGCAAGAACACCAGUGGCGAAGGCGGCUCACUGGUCCGGAACUGACGCUGAGGCACGACAGCGUGGGGAGCAAACAGGAUUAGAUACCCCUGUAGUCCCUGUCUCUUAUAC